rnacentral:rRNA from 1 species
AUUGAACGCUGGCGGCAUGCCUUACACAUGCAAGUCGAACGGUAACAGGUCUUCGGAUGCUGACGAGUGGCGAACGGGUGAGUAAUACAUCGGAACGUGCCUAGUAGUGGGGGAUAACUACUCGAAAGAGUGGCUAAUACCGCAUGAGAUCUACGGAUGAAAGCAGGGGAUCGCAAGACCUUGUGCUACUAGAGCGGCCGAUGGCAGAUUAGGUAGUUGGUGGGAUAGAAGCUUACCAAGCCGACGAUCUGUAGCUGGUCUGAGAGGACGAUCAGCCACACUGGGACGGAGACACGGCCCAGACUCCUACGGGAGGCAGCAGUGGGGAAUUUUGGACAAUGGGCGCAAGCCUGAUCCAGCAAUGCCGCGUGCAGGAUGAAGUCCUUCGGGUUGUAAACUGCUUUUGUACGGAACGAAAAGCCCUGGGUUAAUACCCUGGGGUCAUGACGGUACCGUAAGAAUAAGCACCGGCUAACUACGUGCCAGCCGCCGCCGUAACAC